UCUUGAUGUUUCGGGUCGGUUCAAGUCGAGUACGGGUCAAGUCAGUUACAGGUCAUGCAAAUAAAACGUGUCAACAAAAGAAUUGGUCCAUGUUGACUGAGUAGUAUGGAAAAAUCGUGGGAUUGCAUAUUGACAUGAGGAGAUAAUGGGUAGCAUGGAAAAGAUUACGUGGAAAGUUUGUUAUUUUAGUUAUAUUUGUUUUCUAUUUAAGUAGCAGGAGUUUAUGUUUCAAUAGCCCAUUUUUUAGUUGUAAUUUCUUUUGAAGUUCAAUACAAAGAAAGAGUAUGUAAAUUGUGUGUAGUGUGUGUUUGCAAACUGGCCUGAACCAACACAUAUGCGUGUUGCUCGCUUAACAAGACACCUUAGACACACUUUGAUAUUGCUAAAUACUUUUCUUUAUUUCUUACGACCAUGAGCUAUCAAUGAAAUGACUAUUGUGAGGAGUUCAAUCUAAUUAGCAAACCAACAUUGUAAAUUGUAAUUGGUCCCUUUUCUAUAAACAUAUUCUAUUAUUUCUUUCCAUCCAUUUUUAAUGGAUUCUAAUGAAUCUAAGUUCUCAUUUCAUAUAUAUCGUCCUUUACUGCCACUAAUUUUAGCACUAAACUUCUAUUUUUUUUAAGAACGGCUAAUUCACACACUAACUAAUCCCACUUCUAUAUCUAGGCUUUUUUUUUUUAAACUAUAUGAUGUAGUGAGUAGUACGAUAAUGAAGAUCAAACACGUUGAUUCUGUGAAUGCCCGUGUCGU
rnacentral:lncRNA from 1 species